CGAUGCCUAUUGAAUUGGGUGCUAAGGCGCGGGAAAGACGAGGGCAGAAGAAACGUAAAACAUACGCGACGAGCCGUUAUCUUGGCAUGUCGAACCCCCGUGAACUCGUGGCUCGACGCAUCGCGUGCAUUUGUGUUCGCGUGUGUCCUGCGAAAUGAGAACCGCGAGGCCACGCGCCUUCCCAAAAAGAGCCAGUUCGCGAUAGAGGACGAAGAGAAAGCCAGAAAACCAGCCACGAAAACCUUGCAUUAAUACCCUCCGGUGCAUUAUUAGUUCCUGCAAAAAAAAAAAAAAAUUGUUUAAGCCCAACGCUUUUGCAGCGUGGUUUCGCGCCGGUCAUUCUCUCUGAUUUGAAAACGGGGGCCAGCAUGUUCCUCCCGAAUAUCGGGACCACCAAAGAAAACUCUGACACAAGUUUUUCGGCCUCCUGCGGUUCGAGGGGAAGGAGCAAAUCGUAGAAGAGAAAGACGAGGAAACGCCCAUUUGCAGCAGACAAAACGUCAUGCACCGGCCUUCCGGAGUGGUACACUUCCCGAGUACGCUAUAAAACGAGCCACUGCGCAGCAAACGGCAGCUACUGAACAGUCACAGAUCCACUGCAGUCGCGCUCGCUGCAACGCGCUUCGCCGCUUGUGCCUCGAGGAUGGCGUCGUCGGGUCGUUAUGCUGCCGCUGGACUCUGCAGGGAGGACGACGGCCACAUGAGCGCUUACAACGGCUACGCCAUGCUGCUGGGGGCCGAUUGCAAGCUGUCGUCGAGCAGCAGCAGCGACGACACCGGCAGCAGCAGCGGGGACGACGACGGCAGCAGUAGCAGCGACAGCAGCAGCGGUUCUAGCAGUGACAGCGGAAGCAGCGACCCGGUCGGAGCAGCGUCCCAGUCGGAGGACAUCGACAUCGAAGACGUGCCCACCGCCUCCAGCAUAAAGCCCCUGGACUCCAGCGUCGCAGCCGGCGCCGCCGCCAUAGCCAGAGAGCCGCAGAUGGGCAUCUAUAUUCAGCCGAACGUCGUGCGCCCGGCGGACCUUCCCAGUGACCACCCGGAUGAAGCUCACGACUGGAGCGAUUGGCCCAAGUUCCCUCUAAAUAAGAAUGCGGAUCAGCAGCGUCCGAUCGUGCCGAGUCUGCCGGCCAAGGUUCCCCACGUCGCACUCGUCAACAAGCACGAGUUCCUGCUGCCCAAGAUGGAACUGCUGAUCCACACACAGGGCAGGAUCAUGCAGCCAGCGCCUUCGUUUCGCCUUACCAACUUGGUGGACGACUUGCAGUACACGGCCUGGCUCAGCUUCACCGAUGCCACUGGGGGUGAAUGCGUUGGUCAGUACUCCCACCCGGAUUCACCGCAUCCCGGUUCAUCUUGGAACGGCCGGGUGCUGACGUUUUCUCGGCUGAAGCUCUUCUCCAAUGACUGCUUCACCACGAAACCACCUCCGGUUUGAACGAGCGCACACUUUGCACUAAAAUGCAAGACAGUACGGUUGUCAAGUACGCAGUGUGCGGCCGUUCAAAGCUGGCCCAGCGUCAUUUAGGGAAGCCAUCAACAAGACAUGACGGCGCAGGUGGUACAAGUUGCUACCGUGCUGUCCUAUCUCGUCUUUUGGUGCGUGCCGGCGAUGGCUUCCCCGAGUCGACUUCUUCCGAGCCUAGCAAGCAAGCAACACGUGGUCUUAUUAUCACUCUGAAGUGUAACAACAGUUACCGCAUCCAAGUGAACGUUGGCAUCGUGGACAACAGCGGACACAUCCUGAGCACAUCGGUCGUCCG